rnacentral:lncRNA from 10 species
AAUGGAACAAUUUUUUAGUUUUAUUCCUUUAAUGCUAACAGGGUUCUCAGGGUGGGAUUAUAUUUUUUCACUUGUGUUGUUUUGACUGGGAUUUGUUUGACUCAGAACUAAAAUUUCUGUUAAGAAAUUAUUAUAAAAGACAGUAAUAGUGAAGCUUACUCUAUUCAUGUUCUGAGACACCUUUUCUUUUAAAAAUAAAUAUGAACUAGAUACUAUUUAACUUUCUAGAUACCCAGGAUAGACAACUGUUAGUAGCAGGAAGAUAACACUGCUAGAGUGGAAGCAACACCUAGCCUGAGAAGGGAUCAUUUAAUCCUGUCAACUGCAGGACUGUGUAUGGUAGACCUUCAUUCAAUUCAAGGAGGCUCUGUUCUUCUCUUCUUCUUCUUUUUUUUUUUUUUUUGAGACAGAGUCUCGCUCUGUCACCCAGGCUGAAGUGCCGUGGCGCAAUCUCGGCUCACUGCAACCUCCGCUUCCUGGGUUCAGGUGAUUCUCGUGCCUCAGCCUCCCCAGCAGCUGGGACUACAGGCGCUCGCCACCAUGCCCGGCUGAUUUUUUUUUUGUAUUUUUAGUAGAGACGGGGUUUCAUCAUGUUGGCCAGGCUGGUCUCGAACUCCUGACCUCAAGUGAUCUGCCCGCCUCGGCCUCCCAAAGUGCUGGGAUUACAGGCUUGAGCCACUGUGCCCAGCCCUCUCUCUUUUUUACAACAUAGUAUGAUGUUCUCUUGGCAUAAAAAUUUGGAAAUUUUGACAUCAUUUCCCAGUACUAUUAAUUAUCUAUGCUUUGUUGGUAUGCUGAAUAUAGCUAAAUGCAGCAUAUAUGCUGUAAAUGGUACUGCCCUU